UACGUAGGUGGCAAGCGUUGUCCGGAUUUACUGGGCGUAAAGAGCGCGCAGGCGGUCGUUCAAGUCGCGUGUGAAAGCCCCCCGGCUCAACUGGGGAGGGUCACGCGAUACUGAUCGACUCGAAGGCAGGAGAGGGAAGUGGAAUUCCCCGGUGUAGUGGUGAAAUGCGUAGAUAUCGGGAGGAACACCAGUGGCGAAGGCGGGUCUCUGGACAGUUCCUGACGCUGAGGCACGAAGGUCAGGGG
rnacentral:rRNA from 1 species